rnacentral:tRNA from 1 species
CCCACCAUAGCUCAAUGGUAGAGCGAUCGGCUGUAGACCGAUAGGUUCCCGGUUCGAGUCCGGGUGGUGGGA